GCUCCUUGCCAUUGGUACUUGUUGCUUGGUCAUAUGGGGGUUGCGUUCAUUGAACGCCGCCUUUCCUUGUUGAUCUUGUUUAUCAUAUUUUACCUUCAUUGGUUAAGACUAAAAUUCAUAUUAAAUACAUGCAUUCUUUUUAAGGGAUGUGCAUCAUGAAGAAUCAAUGGUAUCAGAACACAACAUCAUGGAAGAUCUUAUUUGACAAGAUCUCGGAGGAUGUCCUUUGCCAGAUGUUUGCCAGCACUAAAGUCUAUUCAUCAGUCAUAUGCUACAGUUACAAAUGACAGUGAAUGGUCAGAUUUAUACAAUUGUGAUUAACAAUCCUCAACAAUGCAUCAAACAAAAAUGCCUAUUAAACUUUCUCACAGACAGUCAAAGGUUGAAAACAAAUCAGAAGUGGUCCACAUCUUAAAAAACCUCACAGCAGAUUAAGACUUUCCCCGAAAUUUCCCUGUAAAACCCGCAGUGGUAUGUCCAGUGCAGUAGAUACUGCCUGGCACAAAAGAGGAUUUGACAGUUUAACAUUGUACUGCACCAAUAAACUAAAUAUGGCGAGAAGCUUAGUCACCAAAGCAGUCAACACCAAAAUAUACACAAUGGCCAGGGCACUGAAACUUGGAAGAGUGAAAGAGUAAAGUAGUGCGUUUUUAGCUAACAAAGUGACAUUGCGAGCUUUUGUCUAUCUUUCGUCCGUAAACUUGAUCUUUAAAACAAACAUCUCAUAAAUUGCCAAGCCAAUUUCAUGCAAACUUACGAUAUUGUCUAGUCAGUUUUUGUUUUGCUUGCAAUCGCUAUAUGACAUGACUAAAGACAUUUAGUUUUAUUCUUAAGUUAUUAUGUUUAUGUUUGUAUAAGACCCAAAUAUAUUGUUAAGAUUCAUUUUUACAAAUUUGAAAGCCAUUAUUGUUCUAGUCAGUUUUUGUUUUUGCUUGCAAUCAUUAUAUUACAUGGCUAAAGACAAUUAGUUUUAAUCUUUAAUAGUUAUGUCUAUAUUUGUAUAAGACCAAAAAAUAUUGUUAAGAUUCAUUUUUACAAUUUUGAAAGCCAUUAUUGCUCUAGUUUGUUUUUGUUUUGCUUGCAAUUGUUAUAUGACAUGACUAAAGACAUUUAGUUUAAAUCUUUAGUUAUUAUGUCCAUGAGGGGCGUCCGUGGCCGAGUGGUUAAGGUCAUUGACUUC